ensembl:lncRNA
CGCGUAUACACGGCAGCACACAAAGGCAGCUCAUGGUUUGAGUUCAGUCAGGUGGAAGGUACAGAGGGAGACAGAUGUCAGGGGCUUUCUGCACGAUGAGACCUGCCACCCAACAACGCUUGGCCUCUGCGUUACCGGCAAACACUUCUCAGGUGAUUCAGAGGCCGAGGUGAGAAGACGUGCUCGCAGAACUCCACGCUGGCGUUUCAUCAGACAACUCGUGAGCGGAAGUAACAUCGUGUUUCUCAUUACCAACUGACACGUCACCACUCAGGCUCAGGGCUACAAUGCACCUGCAAUUCAGACUCAUUAAUGUGGACCAGAAGAACCGGGACUGGAAACCAGUGAUCAUUAGAGGACCCGCUGUGAGAGGUGAGUUUCUGGCAUCUGAGGCCUGAACUGAAGGUCCUCUGACCAAGACACACAACCCAGAGGACACAUUAACAUCGGAACAAAUGGUGAAGUUGGAUUUCACUCUCCCUCAGUUUAG